rnacentral:rRNA from 1 species
GCUCAGAACGAACGCUGGCGGCAGGCUUAACACAUGCAAGUCGAGCGCCCCGCAAGGGGAGCGGCAGACGGGUGAGUAACGCGUGGGAAUCUACCCAUCCCUACGGAACAACUCCGGGAAACUGGAGCUAAUACCGUAUACGYCCUUCGGGGGAAAGAUUUAUCGGKSAWGGAUGAGCCCGCGUUGGAUUAGCUAGUUGGUGGGGUAAAGGCCUACCAAGGCGACGAUCCAUAGCUGGUCUGAGAGGAUGAUCAGCCACAUUGGGACUGAGACACGGCCCAAACUCCUACGGGAGGCAGCAGUGGGGAAUAUUGGACAAUGGGCGCAAGCCUGAUCCAGCCAUGCCGCGUGAGUGAUGAAGGUCUUAGGRUUGUAAAGCUCUUUCACCGGAGAAGAUAAU